CCUACGGGGGGAGCAGUGGGGAAUAUUGGACAAUGGGCGAAAGCCUGAUCCAGCCAUGCCGCGUGUGUGAAGAAGGCCUUCGGGUUGUAAAGCACUUUCAGUGGGGAAGAAAGCCUUGGGGCUAAUACCCUCGAGGAAGGACAUCACCCACAGAAGAAGCACCGGCUAACUCCGUGCCAGCAGCCGCGGUAAUACGGAGGGUGCGAGCGUUAAUCGGAAUUACUGGGCGUAAAGCGCGCGUAGGCGGUCUGAUAAGCCGGUUGUGAAAGCCCCGGGCUCAACCUGGGAACGGCAUCCGGAACUGUCAGGCUAGAGUGCAGGAGAGGAAGGUAGAAUUCCCGGUGUAGCGGUGAAAUGCGUAGAGAUCGGGAGGAAUACCAGUGGCGAAGGCGGCCUUCUGGACUGACACUGACGCUGAGGUGCGAAAGCGUGGGUAGCAAACAGGAUUAGAUACCCCAGUAGUC
rnacentral:rRNA from 1 species